AAAGCCUUUUACUGGUUACUAGAUCGUCAUGGAGAAAUAGAAGAUGAUUACUUGAAUAGAAUUACAGUAUAUAUUUUUUUAGUUUUUCUUUUGUCUGUUGCAUUUCCAACGUUUUGUUGUGAUCUUAGUUUUGACUGUGCGAUUGAAUAAUCUACUCAAUAUUUGAUCUGCUUAUUUUAGACAGUUUUUGUUAUUUUUCAUGUUGACAUUGCAAAUGUCAAGUCAUGAUUUUCAUCAUCUGCUAUUGUGGGUCAUUUAUUUUUGUAACUCCUUUCCAAUUGGUUU
rnacentral:misc_RNA from 1 species